rnacentral:rRNA from 1 species
AUGGAUUUUUUGUUUCUUUACUGGCUUCAUAUAAUUCUGAAAACACAAGUUUUCUUGAAGCCUCUUGCUCAUAUCUCUCAUCAAAGGGUGCUAUUCUAUAAUCUUUCAAAUAUUUGUCCCACAUUCAUUCGGGAGGGUACUCCUAAGGGAUUGAAGACCAUAUCAACGGGUGUUCCAUCUUGCAAAUAG